rnacentral:rRNA from 1 species
GGAACGCUAAUACCGCAUACGUCCUACGGGAGAAAGCAGGGGACCUUCGGGCCUUGCGCUAUCAGAUGAGCCUAGGUCGAAAUAGCUAGUUGGUGGGGUAAUGGCUCACCAAGGCGACGAUCCGUAACUGGUCUGAGAGGGUGAUCAGUCACACUGGAACUGAGACACGGUCCAGACUCCUACGGGAGGCAGCAGUGGGGAAUAUUGGACAAUGGGCGAAAGCCUGAUCCAGCCAUGCCGCGUGUGUGAAGAAGGUCUUCGGAUUGUAAAGCACUUUAAGUUGGGAGGAAGGGCAGUAAGCUAAUACCUUGCUGUUUUGACGUUACCGACAGAAUAAGCACCGGCUAACUCUGUGCCAGCAGCCGCGGUAAUACAGAGGGUGCAAGCGUUAAUCGGAAUUACUGGGCGUAAAGCGCGCGUAGGUGGUUUGUUAAGUUGGAUGUGAAAGCCCCGGGCUCAACCUGGGAACUGCAUCCAAAACUGGCAAGCUAGAGUACGGUAGAGGGUGGUGGAAUUUCCUGUGUAGCGGUGAAAUGCGUAGAUAUAGGAAGGAACACCAGUGGCGAAGGCGACCACCUGGACUGAUACUGACACUGAGGUGCGAAAGCGUGGGGAGCAAAUAGGAUUAGAUACCCUGGUAGUCCACGCCGUAAACGAUGUCAACUAGCCGUUGGAAUCCUUGAGAUUUUAGUGGCGCAG